CAAAGACCUCUUUUGAUAAGAAUGCAGAUUGGCAGACAUGAUUGCUGACGAGCCAGAAGGAUGUCUCCGAUGCUUUGAAAAAGUGAUAAAAUUUCAAGAAGUUUUAAGAUGGAGGGGUAGUCAAGGUUUCAACAAAGCAACAUUCUAAACUGGGAUUCCUGGCUGGUUUAAGUUAGAACCACAGUGACCAUUAAAACAUUUUGGCAAGAGUACAGCACACCAAUUCACAGAGUGAAUUAAAAGUGUAAGGAGCUGAAUUACUAUAGCUGACCUCAUCAGACAAUACUAUUUUCUUCAUGCAUUGACAAAACAAAGAGUAUAACUAUUUCACAAAAUUCUUAAAAUUAGAAAUAACCAGGAAGAAGGGAAAACCACCACUGUGUGUAAGUCCAGAUCGAAGCAAAUCUAAAACUGCCACUUUUACUUUAAACAGGUAAGAAUUCAAUUUCAGGAGGUGCUUUGGUCACAACUCUUGCCAGUCUUUGUUUGAAGAAGGAAUGCAAUUAUGAUCUGUGUGCUUUCUGCCACUUACAUUGUCCUGCCUUGUAUCUUCUUUAACAUUUACUUUGACUUUUUCCCACAAUGGCUGCCACCUUUCUGGGCUUUGAUUUAACUUGUUCUCCAAUCUUUCGAUUUCCUGAAAACAAUGGAAGGGGUUAUUCCUGACAUUAAAUAUUUCUGACGGUUUGUUUGUAUCAUUAAAACAAAAGCUAUAACUGCUUGCCAUGAUGAAAAAUGAUGAAAAGGGCUGGAUAUGUUUUUAAAAGAGUAUUUGCAAAAUUCAGGCCCAGUGCUAUGACAUCAAUAUUACAAACUGCCAAGAGUAACAUUUAUCCUGUUUUUUUCUAAGGAACAGUACCAAACUGUAAUAAAAAACAAAAAUGAAACAGAAAAACUUAUUUAGUAUGUAUGCCAGACUGUAAGUUGUUCUUGUUGUGAAACUGGGAAUUUGAACUCUUUGGUAGCCUCUUGCGACAUUUUAUUAAUGUAUGUUCCUGUGUGAAUUUUUCGUGAGAUAGGCGUUUGAUUUGUGCAUCUGAUUAAACAAUAUUUAAAAUUAGCUAUGGUUUAAUGCGAAUGAGCAGCAAAUCAUGGAUACUUGGCUCCUCUCGUGUUCCUGUUCCUGUUCCUGCUGGGCUGUCAUGAAACAAGCCAUAGUCUGGUUUAUCAUGUUGUCUGAACUUGGGCUCAUGGUUUGUUUCUCUUGAAACAAACCAUAAGCAGAUGAAUGCAGGAGCACAAGGAACACGAAACUUUGUGAAAGAUACUAUAUGAGUAAAUGUCAGCUAUACCUUUAAACCAGCUUUGCCAUUUAAGUGUUGUUCAUGUCAACUUAUCAUGACACACAGUAAUAAAACAAACUAUGGCAGCAUUGGCUAAUAUCAAAGUUUUUGUUACUUAAAUUGAAUAAGAGCAUAUUGCUUGUUAUUGAACUUCUGUUGUGAAACAUUUGAUCUUAAUCCUUUAAUAAAAAUGCAGCGUUGUAUUUA